AUCACGUGAUAUCUAGCUCGUCUGCUCGCGCGUGUUCAGAUGUAAACAAAGGAAAACGUCAACAAAAAACGAAAUGCUGCAAUCUUAGGCUGACUUACAACAUUUUCCAUUUCGUGUAUUUCUGAGUGGAUGUCGAACUUUGAAGUGACAGAAAGAUGGUCGUUCUUCGUUCGGAUUUCAUUAAGUGUGUUGUGCUAGGGGAUGACUCUGUGGGGAAAACAAGUCUACUAGUGAACUACGCUACAAAUAGAUUUCCUACUACGCACGUGCCUAGUGUUUUCGAUAACUAUGCAGGAACAUUAGAAAUGUCAGGGAAAAAGUAUCACUUGCAGCUUCUUGACACAUUGGAAGAAGUGAGUAGAUUUCUUAAACGUUCUCUUACGAUGCUUGAUUCCAGUUAAAGAGAAACUGCGUUUCAUCAGUGGCUUAAGAUAUCUCGAAUUUCAUAGUUAGAGGGUACAACCUCAAGUGUUUUAUGUUUAACAUCAUAUACUGAACGCACUUUGAUUUGCAAUCGUUGAAAUGUAAAACUCUGCUGUUGUUCAUUCCUGUCUUACAUUCAAACAGUUUGUAUUCUGUUAAUUGCGUAACUUCAAUUUUUUCCAACAUUUACAAUCUUUUUCGGUUUUUUAACUAGCGCGUAUAAUUUUGCUAGAUUUAUAGUUAUUUCUUAGAGAGUGACAUUGUACUUAUAUAAUUACUGACCGAAUGCAGUGUAAACAAAAUCGAGUUAUGUAGGGUAAAAUUUAAAUGACUUUCAUUUCUCGAUGAAAGACAUUCCGUAGUGAUGAAGUGAUUUUUAUUAGCGGAAACUGACCAUCCUAAUUCGGGCGGAUAAUGAAGGGGCAAUAAAUUCGUCAUGUAGGGCGGAUUUAUUCAAACACUCGUAAAUGUCCACGUGUAAUUGAUUGCUAUUCUAAAGACUGUUUCUUGUCUAUUUUUGGUAUUGCUUAUCGAACUGAUACUCCAAUAUAUCAUUACCCGGUUAUGCAAUGAACAAAUAGUUUCAAGAACAGUGCCAAUGUGGGGUGUGAUAAAGUAGGAAUGUUGGAAACGAAUUUGCUGAAACCGACAUUCUAUUGAAAGUAACAACAACCUACAACAACCCAUUCCAUGUUAUCUCUAGGAUUGAACUUUGGUGGGAUAACAGUUGGGGAUUAUCUAAACAACAAACAAGGUUACCUAUAUAUGUAGUGAUUAUCGGAAAAGUUCGGGGGUGUCCAGGAAGAAUGUCAAUAUUUGAUGGGGUGGUGCAGUUGGUUUGUGGAUUGAAGGUUUAAACAGACACGUCUACCGCACUUUGCACGUGACGAUUGGCAAACAUGUGAUCUACAUGCUUUGACCCCAUAAAAUAAUGCUUUACAUAUUGCUAUGAAAGAUUAGAAUAUGUUUUGCAACUUAUAAGUAAAAAAGCAUAUACACACUUAAAAAAGAAUAGGCAUCUUGACUGAUUUUAAUUGUCUUCUGCUAGUUAUUACUUGUCUUCUCCUUCGUUUUAGGACAAAGAACAAGAUAACAGUACUCACAUUCUGCCGGGAGCUGACAUCGUUGUCGUCUGCUAUUCUGUGGUCCAGCCUACUUCUUUUAGCAACGUAGAGUCAAAGUGGAUACCGACUGUCCGGCGGUGUCUGGGGGAGGUCCCCAUCAUCCUGGUGGGAACCCAGACCGACCUCCGCCUAGACUGCUCUGUGCAAACUAGUUUACACCAGAAUGGACUCAAAUGCAUCAGUUCUAUCGAAGGUUUCCACAUGGCUAGAAAAAUAGGAGCCUCUCGAUUUUUUGAGAGUUCGCCGGAACUAGAGAAGAGAAUGAAGAGGGUGUUGAAUAAAGCGAUAGGGACGGUUCUCCACCCCAGAGAUGGCCUCUCCGAGGCCCUGUCAUGUGCCAUUCUGUAGGGGGAAGCAACAAUCACGUGAUGCAGAACUCGAUUUUGCUAUGCACUGCAAAUGCAUAGAGAAAGUCUUAUACUCAAUAGUGCUUAUUGCUCUGACUCAUUUCUUGAACAACGAUUAUUGGAUUCUUACAUGACAAUGCAUUAGAAUUUAUUUGACUUUGGGCAUUGUAUAUGAUACUCAAACCCGCCACCAAACCCCACGCGACAUUGUCCCUGUUCUGUUUUAUCUUUUUGUUUGUAUAUAUUAUUGUUGAUUUAAUUUAUUUUUGUUUGGUGCUUCGGAAACGAUUUUGAUUGUAUCUAUGCACAAUAUUGUUUCUGUUGUGUAUUCACUGGAAAUGAAUUUUUAGAAACUCU
rnacentral:misc_RNA from 1 species